UUAAGAUGGGUGUACUACAAAACUAUAUUGACUGAAGUUUUGGAAACAUUUAACUAAAUUUUGAAGGAUUGACUUGCAAACUGUGAUUCAGUAUCAUGGAAUUUUACACUUCUGGAGAAGUUGUGGCUCUGUUAGUGCCAUUUCUUUCAUUGUUUAUAUAUCUUGCUUUUAAGCAUUGCUCGCUUAUAAAAUCUUUCAAUUCCUUAGGGCCUGUUUAUAUGAUCCCGCCUAGAUGGGACGGGACGUUUUCAUCCCGCCAAGACAGGAUACUCGCCUAGUGUUUAUAUGGACAAAAUACAUUGCCGGGAUGAAACCAUUCGGUGCUUGACGUCAUAUUUUUGUUGCAAUAAAGGCAUUUACGCAUGCCCAAAAGGGAAAAAUUCAUUCCGCCUAACCGGGAUGAAGUGUUUAUAUGGGAAUUUUUCAUCCCGGCUAGGCGGGAUGAAGUGUUUUUAUAUGGGAAUUUUUCAUCUCGCUUAGGCAGGAUCCCGGCAUCUGUUGCCGAAAUCCAGUCUAGGCGGGAUAAGUGGCGGGAUCAUAUAAACACUCUUUAGCAUUUGUAUUACGAGCGGGAUCUCGGUAAGCAUCCCGUCCGCCUGGCUGGGAUCAUAUAAACAGGCCCCUAAUCUCAUCCCAUGAUACUGAAUCACAGUUUGUAAGGCCCCAUUUACAUGAGACCAGGAUGAAACCAACCUGGAAUGAAAAUUGAAAUUGCAUGUCAACAUGUUUACAUGAGACCAGUAUGAAAAUCACAAAAUUUUCAAUUUAUUCCCCUUGCCAG